rnacentral:misc_RNA from 1 species
GCGCCCACGAAGCCGUGC